AAAGAAAUAAAAUCUUUAAAAAAGAUUGGAAUGACACAGAGAGGAUUAGCAUGCCCGCUGCUCAGGGAUGCCACACAGAUCCGUGAAGACCCAGCCUUGCGG
ensembl:snRNA U6 U6 spliceosomal RNA